GAAGGCUGAGAUCCUACCGCUGGAUCAUAAGCAUUGUAUUAAUUUCGUUUUUUAUUUA
rnacentral:tRNA from 1 species